rnacentral:sRNA from 1 species
CUGUGCCUUCAGUAUUCGCUGUCAUUUGCACCUUUUACGAUACCUUUAAAGUGGUACAAUUUUUCAUUAAGCGCAUUCUGUUUGCUGUAAACAUAAAAUUUAACGUCGCGCAUUUUCUCUAUACCUGGAAUGUGCGUUUUCCCAAACCAGUUUGUGCGAAAUGAAAAUGGGGGAGCUUGCGUCGUCCAUUAAAAGGGGAGCCUCAAAUGCCAAUAAGCCUCUUGGCAUAACUGAGUGCUCUCAGUCGCUCUGUGUGUUUUGCAGCCCUUUGUCGUUUGUGUUUCGCAGUCGUCCUGGAUGGCAAAAAGUUCCAGUUGCCAGCGUGUUAAUUUGUGCGUAAACGUUGCACUAACGAAGCGGAAGCUUUUGGCCCCACGAAUAAUAGAGGGUUAAGAGGCAGGGGGGUUUUUCCGGGGGCGACGGUCCUGUUGGGAUAGAGCGCGUAAUUGAAAUGGCAUUUAAAUGUUUCGGGGGACCUGUGUGACGGCGACGAGCGUGCAUUUUCCAUGCGAGGGAAUGUCAUUCAAAAUUAUGGCGGUUGAUUAAAGGAUGAGCGGGGGUGAAGAGCUGCAGCGCGGGAUGCAUGCCCGUGUCAAAGGUCACAGGCGUUUUGUAGCCAUUAAAACGACGCCGGAGCUUGGUAGUAAAACUUAUUUUAAGGCUUUUGAUUAAUAACGAAGUUCUUGGAAAAUAAGUACGUGUCCUAAAUAUGUAAACCUAAAAAAACAAUUAUAAGCUCUGGAUUUAAAUGUAUACCAAAGUGUAAAGACUAUAACCUCUAUGUUUAAUAUAUUUAUUUGGGCUUGGUUUUAAUCGAUAGUAAAUACAGUUAAUUUAAAAAUAUAUUUAU